rnacentral:rRNA from 1 species
UAGGGAAUCUUCCGCAAUGGGCGAAAGCCUGACGGAGCAACGCCGCGUGAGUGAUGAAGGUCUUCGGAUCGUAAAACUCUGUUAUUAGGGAAGAACAAAUGUGUAAGUAACUAUGCACGUCUUGACGGUACCUAAUCAGAAAGCCACGGCUAACUACGUGCCAGCAGCCGCGGUAAUACGUAGGUGGCAAGCGUUAUCCGGAAUUAUUGGGCGUAAAGCGCGCGUAGGCGGUUUUUUAAGUCUGAUGUGAAAGCCCACGGCUCAACCGUGGAGGGUCAUUGGAAACUGGAAAACUUGAGUGCAGAAGAGGAAAGUGGAAUUCCAUGCGUAGCGGUGAAAUGCGCAGAGAUAUGGAGGAACACCAGUGGCGAAGGCGACUUUCUGGUCUGUAACUGACGCUGAUGUGCGAAAGCGUGGGGAUCAAACAGG